UACGUAGGUGACAAGCGUUGUCCGGAUUUACUGGGCGUAAAGAGCUCGUAGGCGGCUUGUCGCGUCUGCCGUGAAAGUCCGGGGCUCAACUCCGGAUCUGCGGUGGUACGGGCAGACUAGAGUGAUGUAGGGGAGACUGGAAUUCCUGGUGUAGCGGUGAAAUGCGCAGAUAUCAGGAGGAACACCGAUGGCGAAGGCAGGUCUCUGGGCAUUAACUGACGCUGAGGAGCGAAAGCAUGGGGAGCAACAGG
rnacentral:rRNA from 1 species